rnacentral:rRNA from 1 species
UACGUAGGCAGCGAGCGUUGUUCGGAGUUACUGGGCGUAAAGGGUGUGUAGGCGGUUGUUUAAGUUUGGUGUGAAAUCUCCCGGCUCAACUGGGAGGGUGCGCCGAAUACUGAAUGACUAGAGUGCGGGAGAGGAAAGUGGAAUUCCUGGUGUAGCGGUGAAAUGCGUAGAUAUCAGGAGGAACACCGGUGGUGUAGACGGCUUUCUGGACCGUAACUGACGCUGAGGCGCGAAAGCUAGGGGAGCGAACGGG